UGAAAAUGUAUGCACUCACUAACUGUAAGUCGCUCUGGAUAAGAGCGUCUGCUAAAUUACUAAAAUGUAAGGAGGAGUUGAUGGUGCUGCUAAACAGCAUUCCAGGUUAGAUUCUAUGUGUUCUGCUCAUAAUUUUUGUUAAUAUGUAAUGAUCCUUUUCUGCUAAUUCAAUCAGAUGAAUUGGAAGCAGGGCUUCAGUAGCUGGAGUCAAGGCUUUCUCCUACAGAGCUCCUCUUUAUGGAAUGGUUUGCCGAUGUGAGAGAAUCAGACUGUCUCAACUUCAAGUCUAGACUGAAUACUUUUCUCUUCUGUCAGUCCUAUGAUUGAGUGUAGUCUGGCCCAUGGGUGGGAAGGUGAACAGAAGUUUGGACCCGUCAGAUAAAGGAGACCCUCACAGACAAGAGGACGUUGUUCCUUACCUGGCAGGAGAGAUACGUGGAAACUCUCGUAGAGCAACAUCAAGUAGCCCCUACCAGUCAUGACUGCCACGUUCCUAUACUCUACUGUGUGCUGUGUCCUGGUCCCACAAUCUCUUGGAUCUGCAUAGCUACUCCCUGUUACUUUAUUCUCUUAUCACCAACUCCUGCUGUCACCUGCCCCUUUUCACUGCAUAUCCCAGAAACAUGAGUUCCCCCGUCCCCUGCUUAAUCUAUUCUACAUUAAGUAUUCUGACCUGUGUGCCAAUACUUCACACUGCAUAAUCCACUCUACACUCAAAUCUACACUCAAAUGGGUUUUGCCUUCCUAACUGGUUACAGUUAAAUACAGUUUGGAGCAAAUUGAUUAAGUCAUAUUUAGUAUGUAUUUUAACAAAUGAUAAGAAAAUCAUAUCAAAAGUUAUGUGAAUAAUGUAUUGUGAAAAGCAGAUACUUAGAUGUAAUAUGUAUGCCAAUUGUAGGAUUGAUUUGGUGCAGAGAACAAGUGACUUUGUGAAUAUGUUUGUUGUACUCAGUCAAUUGAAAAUGUACUUGUUUUGAAAAAUUUCCCAUUUUGAUGAUCUGUUGAUUUAUGUGCUAAUAGUUAUGAAAAUGUACCACAUACAUGUAAAAAAUUGCACCAGUGAUUGAAAGAAACAGUAAUAAAACACUCCGGGAGACCAGGAGCAUGCUUUUGUUACUCAAUCCCAUUGACAUCCUA